rnacentral:lncRNA from 1 species
UUCUUUCCCAUCAAGGUGAAAUAAUAGCAUUCAUCUUGCACACUUCUGGAGUUCCUGUUAAGAUUUUCAAACUAGUGAGUUUCUGUUGUCACAGUAGCUUAAGUUUUCCAGCCUUGGUUCAGUGUUCUAAAAAAUUGCUUUCCUUUAAUCUUGCAGUAGGUGGAAUUUCACUCAAGUGACCAGUCAUAUCCAAUUUAUCCAGGGAAAUCUCUGAUAACAGACAGAAAGCAGAAACAUGUGUUGCCCUUGAAGUCACAUACAGGUUAACCACUCCCUUUUUUCUGCCCAAGUCUGUGUGUCCAGGAUCCUCUUAGCUGCCCAGGUAGGGUGUGCUUCUUCCCUUCCCAUUGGGACAACAGUACUAGGGGAUGAUGGGGACCAGGGUGACAUAGGGUGUCUCAGACGUCGUUACACAAAUACAGGGACAGAAGCAUGAGCCUGACAAUGCAGCACUUCUCACAACCUGCUACAGUGGUUAUUUGGUUGUUCAACAUAGUCCUGUUUUGGUCAGAAGUGCAGAGUGCACACCUGUGUUGUAAGGGAUCUUAAGUUCCUUCAUUAUUUCUUGAAUUUUAUUGAACUUGCCUAAUGUUGCUGCAUAUUAGACUCUCAAUUGCCUGACUGAUAAUUAGUUGGGUUUUUUUGUUUUGUUUUGUUUUUUCCCUGUAUCUUAUAAUGUGAGCUGGAAGUUGUUGCAACAGAGUCUCACAGAAUGGUUGAGGUUGGAAGGGCCGUCUGUGUCCCUCAGGCCCAAGCCCUGCUCCAGCAGGGACACCCAGAGCAGGGUGCCCAGGGCCACAUCUAGGUGACUUUGGAAGAUCUCCAAGGAGGAAACCCCACAGCCUCUGGGCAGCCUGUGCCAGUGCUUCGUCACCUGCACAGUACAGCAGUACUCCUGGUGGUCAGAGGGAACCUCCUGUGUGCCAGUUUCUGCCCAUUGCUUCUUAUUUUAAAGCUAUGCAGGUGAACAUCCCCUCCUUAUAAUCUUGCAUCGUAGUGAUCAGAUAAUGCAAGAUGUAUCUUUCUUUCCCUUUUAGAAGGGUGCAAACAAGAAAGAGGUUUUUUUCUUUCUAACUCUGUCCCUCAGGCAGAGUAAACUAGGAUUGCUGCAAUUUAAUUUGAGGGGAUGAAACUACACAGAUAUGCAGCAGCUAACAAUUAGACCUAAUAUACUUUAUUGAGGUUGGGACUCAAAUCAUAACCAUACAUUUACUGAUGUCUUUAUCACUGAGAAAACUUUAUUUUGGUCAGUAGAAAAUUGAUCUGAGUACUGCUCUGCAUCAUAGGCUUCAUGGGAUUGGCAUGUUUUGGAAAAAAUGCUAAAGAAACACAUUUAAACCUGAGGUGGGAGAAAGACCUCAGAUUCCUGUAGUCACUAUGACUACAACAAAAAUUGGUAGGCAUUAUAGCUUUAGAUCAAUUUCACAGGAGGUACUGAAGUUUUUCAAAGCCAUUAUGAGUUUCUAAAAUAUUUGAAACAUUUUGCAAAAUUACACAAUUAAAGGUAAUGCCUUCCUUGUUUAGACUGGCUUAGAAGAAAUAUUAAAGAGAAUGCUAAUCUUCUGGCAGCAUUAUGAAGCUCAGCUUCCCAGCAGCACUUUAAGUGGCAGGGCAUUUCACCAAAUUAUGGCUGUUGCUAGACAUCCUGAACUGGCCAUCUGUAGCUAAUUAAAUCUCUUCGAUCCUUCCACUGCUUCUGCCCCAUGAAUUUGCUAAUAGCUGCUUCUCAUCAAUGCUUGCAAUUUUUGCCGCAGUACCAAAAGCAUCAUUGGUUGUGAUUUUGAGGUAUAGCACCUGAAUAAGCAGUGCAGAAGGGGCUGGGAAGUGCAAAAAGACAAAGGAAAGUAUAAAUGAUCUUUAUAAAUGCAGUAAUAGGCUUUAUAUAUCUUUACAUGGUAUGUAUUGGAUGCUGUGUAUGUAAUGUAUUAUAGCAAUGUUGUAUAUUGUUUAUGGUGUUGUAAGAGAAUUUUAUAAGUGCGUAACAUAUAUAUAUUCCAAGUUUUACAUAUAUACAUAUAAAUAUACAUACAUACCAUGUCAGAGUGUCUUACUUUUAACUUAAAAGUAAGUCUGCAUUUCUCUCUGCAGUUUGGAUGAGCAUAAGUAUCUAUAUGUAAUUUGAAAAAAAAAAAAGUUUGUUAUUUUUCAUCAUAGUGUUUGCUGUAUUGAAAUUACUAAUUAAGAUUUCUUUGAGUUUGCAUUUGGAACAGUACGAAGGCAAAAAUCUGGAACUACUAGUUGGAAAACAUUUUCCCUUGAACUGAAUAUGUGUACUUUGUCAGCUCCAGCAGCGAUGUUUCCUGUAACGUACCACAGCUGCCGUCAGGUUUAAAAGCGGCAGUAGCAAAGUGCUCAUUGCAGUGGCAGUACUUGGGUUUCAUUUGGCUUGGGUGAAGCCAGAUGUGCUGGCUAUGGGACUGUGUACUGUCAGUCAUGGAAAUGCAUUCAUAUAAUCUCCUGAAAUAGAUCUUCAGUGAAGAGAAGGAAGAAAGUAAUGCCGGAUGAAGGCUGCUGAAGUAGUGAAGAAAUCUUGUAUGUGUCAGGAAUUCAAAUAUAUAUGUACAUAUAUGCAUCUGAUUUGAGAACCUCUGAAACAAUGUGAUUGAUAGAACUGAUGGAAUGUUUUUUGGUUUCAUUUUGCGGCAUGACAGCAGAGUUGACUGAAUUCUCAACUUUGUACAAACAGCUUUUAAAAGCAAAAUAAAAUUGCAACUGCAGUGAAAUGUUAGUGUGCUUAUGCAAAUACCUGUUUCAGUCACACAGUGUAUUUUAACUCGCUUGUUCUCAGUCUACAGUGAGUUUAUCACUGACAAGUAUCAGGGAGUUGCUAUGGAUAUGUAGCAUAUGUAUAAAUGCAAACAUACGCAUAUACAUAUAAAUGCAUAUACAUAAAUAUACGGAUGUAUAUGUAUAUAUACAGCAUGUAUGUAUAAAUAUGGAGUAGGUCCAGGGGAGGGCCACUGAAAUGGUCAGAGGGCUGGAGCACCUCUCCUAUGAGGAAAGGUUGAGGGAACUGGGCUUGUUUAGCUUGGAGAAGAGAAGACUCCAGGGAGACCUCAUUGUGGCCUUCCAGUACUUGAAGGGAGUAUAUAAACAGGAGGGGGAGUGGCUGUUUAUGAGGGUGGAUAGUGAUAGGACAAGGGGGAAUGGUCUUAAACUGAGGCAGGGGAGGUUUAGGUUGGAUAUUAGGAGGAAGUUUUUCACCCAGAGGGUGGUGAUGCACUGGAUCAGGUUGCCCAAGGAGGUUGUGGAUGCCCCAUCCCUGGAGGCAUUCAAGGCCAGGCUGGAUGUGGCUCUGGGCAGCCUGGUCUGGUGGUUGGUGACCCUGCACAUAGCAGGGAGGUUGAAACUCAUUGAUCAUUAUGGUCCUUUUCAACCCAGGCCACUCUAUGAUUCUAUGAUAUAUAUAUGUAUUAUACACAGUUGUCUUUAAAAGAACUGGAAACUGACCCUAUCUUUAUUAACUCAGUAACCUGGACAUGUAAGAAAAAAGCCUCAAAUACUAAAAAUGGUACAAAAGCUUUUGGCUGAUGCAAGAGACAACUUGAGGUCUAGGCAGUGAGGGAAAUCAAAAACAGGUAAAGGAGCAGAUUAAGACAUAAUAGCUACCAUUAGGUUUUUAAAAUAAAAAAUACAUGAAUUCAAAAAAUGUGAUGUUUUAUGAUUGGUAAUUUGUGCAAAACAAAUUUGUACAAGACAAAUUAACAACGGAAACCAAGAAACUGACUGCAUUGAAUUUAUUUUGCUUUAACUGAGAGCUUUAAAUGCUUUUCUAGCUUGACAUUGAGUGUGAUAGAGGAAAACCAGUGGUAAACCAAUGGAAACCAAUGGAAACCAAUGGAAAACCAUUACAGGGCAUGCUUGAAAUACAUUUAACUUUCUAACAAGUCUAGAAAAGAUUAACCCAGAUGAAAAUGUUUCUGAAAACAAAUACCUCUGACAAAGAUUCUUUACACCGUAGGUCAGCAGGUAGUAAAAUACCUAUUAGAAAAUCUGAUGAGCAUUUCUUAGUCAAAUAACUACUGUGUCCUUCUUUAAGGAGUAAUAAGUGUCUUAGUCAAAUAAAUACUGUGUCCUUCUUUAAGGAUAAGACACAGUAUCGGCAGAGUAGUUCCUGUAGGUCAUACCCAAAUUUACUUUUGAUGUUUGUAUACAAAUAUUGGUUGCAAAGGGUCAAGCAUAAGUUUUAACAACAAUCUGGAUUGUGAAUCACUCUUGUGAGCUCUUCCAUCCCAAGAUGCUGAAAAUGAAAGUCUUUAAACUUGCAUCCUUUCUUACGCCUGCUCAAGAACAUUCCACAGCUCUAAGGAAUAUCAUUCCAAGUGCAGAGCACGGAUGCUGGGCCUGGGCAGUAUGCAGAGAUUCCCUACUGAGUUUCUGCAGGAUCUUAGAGAGCCCCAGAUAGCCAGGGAAAAUUGUUAAGAGGUCAAGGACUGUAGAGCAGCCAAGCAUCUGAUCUGGCAUUAAACAUGACUUUGGAGGAAGAAACUAUCCCUCUUAUGGUAAGUAUAACCUGAUUCUGUAAACAGUUGUUUAUUCUGUAACUUUCACAGUGAAAACCAUUGCUGUAGGAGUUUUGGUUCCAGAAUCAGUCUCCAGUCUGUUCAUCCACUACCACCAAAAAAUUUUCCUAACGGAAAGCAAGAUGUGCAUUUCUCUAUAGGACAAAGAUGUAGCUGGGAAGAGGGAAUUCGGGAGUUGUCAGAUUCUUGUAGUUAAACCUUUUUCUCCUCCAAAUUAUAACAUAGUAGAACCAUAGAAUGGCUUGAGUUGAAAGGGACCUCAAGGAUCAUGAAGCUUCAGCCCCUCCACUACAGGCUGGGCCACCAACCUCCAUAUCUAAUACUACACGAGACUGCCCAGGGCCCCAUCCAACCUGGCCACGAACACCUCCAGGGACGGGGCAUCCACAAGUUCUUUGGGCAGGCUGUUCCAGCACCUCACCACUCUGUUGUGAAGAACAUUCCCCUGAUAUUGAACCUAAAUCUUCCCUCCUCCAACUUGAAACCAUUUCCCCUUGACCUGCCAUUAUCUACCCUUUUGAGGAGUUGACUCCCCUCCUGUUUGUAGGCUCCUUUUAGGUACUGGAAGGCUGCAGUGAGGUCACCCCUCAUCCUUCUCUUCUCCAGGCUGAACAAGCCCAGCUCCCUCAGCCUGUCUUUGUAGGUGAGGUGCUCCAGCUCUCUGAUCAUCUUUGUGGCCCUCCUCUGGACCCUCUAACAUUCCAUUUUCUGGAACAUUUGACUUUUCAGUGCCUCUAAAAUAUAUUUUCUUGUAAUUUUGUAUUGUUUUUGAUGUGGUAAAAUUCUAAUAUGGCCUCGCUUCUAUGUUAAUUAAGAAAUAGCACAUGGUUACAUUUCAGCUGGACACUUGCUAAUAGAAAAGCACCAUUUGGACUUAGUCUGCCUGUGGCUGUACUUCUCAUAAUAAAAUCACUUCUUGAUGCCUCUGUUUCCCUUCAGUCUGCAUCUUGUCAGCUGGAAUUGCGUGCCCCCUCUGAGAAAGAAACUGUCUCCCAGUACUUAGUACCAUGGAUGCCUGGUCCCAGC